UACUGUCAAGAGUUAUGUUGGUAGUGUCUCACGUAAACAGAAGAUAAGUGAAUAGCACUGGCAACGUGUUUAAGCUUGCGUUUGUGAAGGUUGGCAUUAUGUAUAAACAUUCUGAGCCUAACACCUCAAUUUAGGUAGAUUUUUAAAGAUAUCUUCCAAGGCAUGAUGCACAGUACCUGCACUGCACGUUUCAAUUGAUUCAAGUCUGCCUGUGAUUCAUUUACAGUGGAUUUAAAAGUAGCUGAAUAUAUACUUGUAAGCUUAUUGCAAGAUACUCACGUUUGAUCCACAUCAGGAUCAAAACCAAUCUUCCUACUUCUGUUGCUCCACUGUACCAUGCACCCUCACAUACCGAAGGCAUGCCUGUAACUGUCUUAUACAAAGACUACUUAUUGAGGCAAAGUACUAUGACUUUUUCUCACUCUAAGCAAAUGUGCUCCUAGUUGUUCUUUUUUUUUUAUUAUUAUUAUUUUUUUUAUUUUUUUUUCCUGAGGAGAGUUUCACCAUUUGACAAAAAUUGACAAUAAACUAGAUUUCUCACUUGCUGUUAUAUGGAAGAGAAAUAAAGGUAUUAGGUAACGGGUGCUUAUAAACAUAAAUGUGAUUGAAGGAGAAUCCAGUUCUAUCAUUUGCAUGAUUGAUAUGCUGCCAUUGAAUUUUUUAAAGUUCCUCAGGCACCUAAAGACAGUUCUAAAAAUUAAAUAACAUUGAAGUAUCCUCUAAAGUAAGUUGUCUUGAUUACUGCCAAUAGGCUUCCCAGUAGUGAUUCUGACAGUGAAAAGCCCAGGAACAAAAUGUUCUCCUUUGAAGUUAAUCCUGGCAUCUUCAUGCACUGUAACUUUCAAACAAAUACAAGUUAAGAUUGAGUAUGAUAAUGCUUUCAUUCUACUUAUGAUUGAUUCUUCUACAAGGCCUGUGUAGCCAUUUUUGGGGACGAAUGAUGUGGCAAGAGUAAACUCGAGACAACAUCUUUCCUUGUGUGUUUUAUACAGAUGAAGUGUGCUUCUAAUGUUUUUUGCUUUUUUGAGUAUGUAUAUUGAUGCACAUACACUUAUUUAUGUCUUAUUCAAUAUCAAGCAGAGCAUCAAUUACAAAUUAAACAUAAAAGAUAAGUUUUGCAUACACAAGAUCGUUGCUGGCUGACUGAUCUGCUAGGCUUGGGUGAGAAGAAAAUAAUUAUUCCCAAGUAGGUAAGAUACAAACAUAUUGCAUCUUUGUAAGAAGAUACUGAAAAGAGUGUAAUUGAACUCCAAACGUGGUGCUGUAGCACUGGGAAAAUUCUGAUGUUUGUUAGUGGCAUUAAAAAUAAAAUUUGUUGUUAAGUGAGAUGUAAAAAUAUUCUGUAUUCAUAUGUUAAAAAGUGACUUGGAGUUCCACUUAUGGACUGUAACUCUUGUGCUGGGCGUUGUACAACAGGAAAGAAAAGGACAGAAGAGAGUACAGUUUUGAUUUGCUUUUGACUUUAUAAAAUUAAAGAUGAAACAGUUGGUGGAUUAUAAUAUUUGUCAGGUCUCACUGACUAGCUCAUGCCAUAUUUAUUGGAUCCUUCUAAUUUUGUGAAAUCAAGUGUAUGAUUAUAACUAAAAUUCUUAAGAAAAACUAAGAAAAAAACCACUUUGUAUUACGCUGUCCAAGAUUUCUGACUUAAUAUAAGUUAUGUGUAUGUCCUGCUGAUCAUACCCGAAGAGAGAACUUGAGUGAGCAGGAUAGACGUGCAGUAGUGAAGUCUGUUUCCUAGGUUUUGCUCUGAUACCAAUUUUCCUACAGAAUCCAAGCCAAAAUCUUCACCUGAGUAUAUAUCAGGUCUUCUAGCCUGGUCCUUUUCCUUCUCCCCCUUGAGUCCCUUUCCUUUCUAUAAUUUGUCCUUUGCACCUUUAACAUCCUUGUGCUCUCUUGGUUUCAACAUAAACCUCUCAGCUUUUGUGAUGGGUAGGAAGUAAUGGUUUUCCUUACAACAACAAUCUCUACAAAUUGCCCACAAAUAAGGAUCUAUCCAAUCUAUUUGUGCACCUGCACGUUUGUGUGCACAUAUGCACAAAUGUGAAUGUUCCAUCAAAUGAAAGAUAUUAACCCUCAACAAAGGUUUUAGAACUACAUUUUGGGCUCUCCAUUAUAUAUUUCUUACUAAACAUUUACUAACAUGGAAGUGCAGUCAAGAUAGAGAAAGGAAUAUUUAGCAGCAAGAAACUCUGUUUUCUUGUUAUUAUCAUAAUGUAUUACCAUCCACAUGGUAAACUGUUUAUAAAGUUAUUGCUCUGGUCAUUUUUUUCAUAGUGGGAAACAGUGGGGAUAGCUAUGAGCAUUGAGUUACUUUUGUGACAGGACAAAUUUGAUGCCAUUGGUGUGGCAUUACUUAGUGUAUGCACCAGCUGAUCAGCUGCAAGCUACUUGGCAGAUCAAGAGACUUUCAGCUUAGAUAAAUGGUUUCACUUGGUUUUUUGACAUUGAUCUGUAGAAACAGUUCUGCUACUGGUUUUUGAUGAAACACAAGCCUCCACUUUGGGAAGCCAGCUGAUACUCUGAAGAGAAGUGAAACAUUUGUUUGUCCAUUAGAAGCAUCGUUGCUCUUUCGCGUAGCUGGGUGAAAGACAAAAAAAAAAGGGAACCCUACAUUGCUGCAGAAAAAUGACAGUUUGGUAUGAAUUCUGCUGCGUAACAUAGGGUAAACAUAGACAGUAGGGUAAAUGCUUGUGUUAAUGUGGCAGCAUAUUUCUCCUGUUUUACUGAUCUUUUUCUGAUUAUUCAUGCCUCUGUCAGCUGGACUUCAGCAAUGAAAUAAAUCUGGGCAGGCAACCGUUAACACAAAGAAAGCUGCAAGUAUACAGAAAACUGCAGAUUUUUAUGGAAGCAUUAAAUUUAUUCUAGAGUAUGUGUAAUGUCCUCUGUGCAGAAUUUCAAGAAAAGAAAUGCUUUCUUGUGCACAGAUAGUGAGUGGCCUGGCUCCAUCACAUACACUACAUCAGUGUCACUUAUGGGCUGAAGACAUGCUUGGCAGCAGUGCUCUGGUGCCUAGUGGAACACUUCCCUCAAAAGAAAGAGUCCCAGGCAGUGAUAAAUGCUUCUCAAUAUCCUCUGCUCGUGGUGGUGUUUUGUUUUAUUUUUUUUUUCUUCUGACUUUCUGUUUUUAAACAUCAGAGCUUCAAUGUAGAACAUUACAACAUUCCUGUGAGGGAACAGUGAAAGAACAUAUAUGUGACAGAUGUUAGUUGUGUUUCUUAGUAUGUUCAUAGAAUCAUAGAAUCACCUAUGUUGGAAAAGACCUCCAAGAUCAUCCAGUCCAACCAUUCACCUACCAGCAAUAUUUUCCUCACUAAACCAGGUCCCUCAGUGCAACAGUGUUACUUGACAAUGCUCUUCAGUAGUGAAGAUGGUGCGGGAACCCAUGUAGAAUGAAAUCUAACUGUUUUGGCCUAUUAAUCAUGCCAUUUUUAGGUACUUCUGAGUUCCAUAACACAUUUUCUUGGUCCAGCCUUCUCACUGGAGAUUUUUCCAUUGCUUCAGUCUCAUUCCUGAUGAUUUGGUGUUUUUUGCCAUGUUCGAUUUACGAAACAUCAGAAGUUUUGCUGUGGAAAUUUAUGCUGUCAUAUGAUUAAUAUCAGCCUGUUAAUACUGUGCUUACAAUUUUCUGGACCUGCUAAGUAUUUAGUGAUUUACCCCACCCUACUCCUGCUGGGUCUGCAACUUUAGUUUGAGAACUCUAUUUUGAAAAAUUAGUCCUGGUCAAUUCCAAGCCAUGCUUUUUAGCAUCGUUGGCAUACAUUCUAGUACAGUAAUAAUCACUGAAAAUUAAUGACUUUUUGAUUGUACUUGAACUGCUUCCAGAUAAGUUAGCAGAAGGAUGCUUCAUAAACAAUCAGGAUUAGGUAUAUUGCCCAUAAAGAAAUGGAGAGCUUUACGUUCAGGCAUUCCCCAAAAUGUUUGCCUUUGCUCCCUGGGUUAUUGCACAUUCAUCAUUUAUGCAUCUAGGGUUACCUAGGAGCUACAGCUUAGUUACUUCUCAUUGCUGAUUUCCUAUACCACUCUCCCAACUGCAAUGACUUGUCUGCUCUUGCUUCAGCAGUAAGCUUCCACAUUCUCUGUCCCAUUACUGAGGCUUACAAAUUGUCCUGGAACUUUCAGUCUUUAUAUAAUCUCAUCAGCUUUGAGACAGUUUCAUCCUUUUUUUCUUUCUCUUUUACAACAGUGCAGAAUGUGUUACUAGGAAAAAUGGACAGUUGCUUCUGGAUGCAUUAACUUCUGAAAAUUCCUUUUGAACACAGACAGGAAGAAUCCUGAAACAGGCUAGAAACUUCUGCAGUGUUCUGCAGAAAGUGGAUAUUUCAUGCAGCAAGCAUGGAUUUGGCUUAGGUGAUGCUUAGGUUCAUCCUUAGGUCUGGGAAGUGAAAAUUAUUCCAACUCAUGGGAUGUGGAUGAUAACGUGGAUGGUACAGCUACACAUGCCCUUCUCAUUUUAAUUCUGUUAUAUAUUCGUAUGUUUUAAAGCGUGAAGUAUAGAGGAUACGUCAGAGCUGACAGUCGGAAUCAAAUUCUCAAAGGGACCUGGAAGAUUUAGAAAUACCACAGUUACCGAAUGCCAUGUCAUAACUUAGGUUGUUUUGGGAUUCUUCCUUUGGAUUCCAUUGGAAGGAGAAAUAAAAGAGUGCUUGGAGUUAUUUCUGAAUUUUGCUUCCAUGUCUUAAAUCAGAAGUUUGUAUUAUUUCAGUCACGUGGAUCCUGUGUGCCCCAAUGCGGAUGCAGUCCUAAGUUGCAGGAUGGCUAGAAGUGGGUUUUUUACAUUGAUGUUCUAAAUGGUUUUAAUUUUAUUUAUUCGUUUUUAAUCUUGUUUUUUUUUUUUCUUCUGUUUUCAAUUAAAGUUUUAAUUUGCAGAGAAGAUGUGUGAUCACAUCAGAGACAGAGCAAGUUGUCAGUGUGUGGGCACGGCUGGCUCAAGAGCUGCAGUCGUCUCCGCGAUGGAUUUUAUGACAAAGCAUUGUUUUACUGGGGAAAAUCUUAAUGCAGAUACGUUUGGCAUUUCUAACCUAAAUAUGCAAAUCUAAGUAUUAUAGGAAUGGUGGAUUAUUUGGGGCAUCGGUGUUGUAACAGUUGACUAGAUUUACUUGGAAGAAAUAGGGUCAGAUUAGUGAAACUGGCCAUCUGGCUUGUGAUUGCUUUUUAGUGGCAUUUUUGUUUCCAGUCUGGAUAAACAAUGAGUUACAGGGCCACAUGGUCCGUGGUAGGAAGCAUGUGUAAAAGAGGGACAUUCUUUGUGGCUGGUUUUCCCUGGAGUAGUUAUGCAUACAGAUACAGUGCUGUGCUUGCUUCUGGCAAAUGAAGUCAUUUUUUAUUCGGAUCUAUUUUAUUUAAACUUCAGGGGUAUGUAAACAAAUAUAUUUUAAAGCUAUGUAAAUACAUCAGAGCUUUGGUUUCAUUUUCCUCCUCUCGUUGGCUUAGGUUUAUCUUCUGUUCAAGGUUAUUCUUCCUUAUGGAAGGAAAUAUUUCUAGAGGAGGACAAACUUCUUGUUAAAUGCUAAUUAAGAAAAUGAAGGUUACAUUGGCAUGCUUCCAUUGUCAUAGCACUGACCUAAGAUAAAGGAUCUCUUAUUAAUCUGAAAUAAAUUAGUCAGAGGGGGAAGCAAGUGAUUCUGUGCAUGUAAAACACUCAAAGUGUCUAUUCCUGCUCUGUUUUUAAAUACCCAUAUUUCUGUUUUGUUGCUGUUACUUGCUAGUUUGUUUUUGUUUUUCCAUCGGUGCAUUGGCUGUGCCAUCGAAUUUUGGAGUGUGCUGCUGCUGUCAAUCAUUGUGCCAUAGGGUCAAUGUGCUGUUAGAAAAGGUGUAGAGUUUCUUUUUUUUCCUUUUUUCUUUUUCUUUUUUUUUUUUUGACAAUUUAAACAGAGAUUUCACCCACUUAUCACUAAAGAUCCCAUGGUAAUUUCCACAAGGUUCUGAGAUUGCUUCACAUUCUGAGAGUCUUGGCCAAAGUCCACUUUGUGUAAUUACCUUCUGUCUACAUAAAUCCCUAAUGCAAUUUUAGAUGUGUUUGGUAUUUUUCACUUCCUGUCCUAAAUAGAGAAAAUAUUGCCACACGCUGCUCAUAAUUACUGUGGGUUGCAUCCUAAGAUCAAAUAAAGAGAUUCCUGUAAA